AAGCAAACGGAAUAUAAAUAGAUUUAAGACAACGAUAUUGUAUCAUCUUAAGACAUAAAAAUAUACCUACGUUACGCAUUUAUAAGUAGAAGUGUAAUAUUAAUUGAGAAGUGUAAAUAAUAGUGUAAUAUAAAAUUAAAUUGAAGGCAACUAUUCUCAAAAUAAGUUCACUUCCUCAGAGGUGUACACGUUUUUACAAAGGCCCCUGCCUACUCAUUUACGUUUUCGCUCCUUGAUGGUUUUAAUGGGUCAAGAGGAGGCGGCUCCUAUGGGAGCCAGAUAUAUUGACAGGUUUAGGAACCACCGGCUCUUUAUAAUAGAAGAAGAGGCAAUAGUUAUUGUAUGGGCCUUAAAAUUAGUAAGUCUAUUUAUUCUUGAUUUUAAAUUAAGACUAAUGUAUUUCUUUGGCAUAUAAUAAAUUUUGGUAAGCCA